CACGAAAGUUCUUCUGUUUUAAAAAAACACUCAAGGAAAUUGAAUUUGUAGUGAAGAUGCUACAUUAAAAUGGUUAGACGAGAAGUCCCCAUGGAGCUUUACUGAAAGCCUAAAAGAAAUUUUUUUAUUUAUUUAUAGGCUAUACAGUUUUGUUGGGGUGAUAGUUUUUUAAAAAGUAACGAAAACGAACUAUGACGCAUGUUUCACUCUGAAAACUUGAAGAGACAUUUGGGGUGUGUUUUAUGAUCUAUUGUUUUGAAUGAAAAAGAUAAUGAAAGCAGAUAAAAGUUACCCUGGGGAA
rnacentral:rRNA from 1 species